GUAGGUGGCAAGCGUUGUCCGGAAUUAUUGGGCGUAAAGCGCGCGCAGGCGGUUCUUUAAGUCUGAUGUGAAAGCCCACGGCUCAACCGUGGAGGGUCAUUGGAAACUGGAGAACUUGAGUACAGAAGAGGAAAGCGGAAUUCCACGUGUAGCGGUGAAAUGCGUAGAGAUGUGGAGGAACACCAGUGGCGAAGGCGGCUUUCUGGUCUGUAACUGACGCUGAGGCGCGAAAGCGUGGGGAGCAAACAGGGAUAGAUACCCUGGUAGUCCACGCCGUAAACGAUGAGUGCUAAGUGUUAGGGGGUUUCCGCCCCCUUAGUGCUGCAGCUAACGCAUUAAGCACUCCGUCUGGGGAGUACGGCCGCAAGGCUG
rnacentral:rRNA from 1 species